AAGUUAAACGGCCGCGGUACCCUAACCGUGCGAAGGUAGCGCAAUCACUUGUUCUUUAAAUGAGGACUAGUAUGAAUGGCAUCACGAGGGUUAUACUGUCUCCCUCUUUCAAUCAGUGAAACUGAUCUUCCCGUGAAGAAGCGGGAAUACAUCUAUAAGACGAGAAGACCCCAUGGAGCUUUAAACUCAGUAUCAACUGCCCUCCCAAUAUAUCCACCUAAUUAAGCAGACAUGACUACUAGUUUUCGGUUGGGGUGACCGCGGAGCAAAACAAAACCUCCACGAUGAAAGGAAUUAACCUCCUAAUCAAAGAGCUACAUCUCUAAGAAUCAACAAAUUGACAUUUAUUGAUCCAAUUCUUUUGAUCAACGAACCAAGUUACCCUGGGGAUAACAGCGCAAUCCAUUUCAAGAGCCCCUAUCGACAAAUGGGUUUACGACCUCGAUGUUGGAUCAGGGUAUCCCAGUGGUGCAGCCGCUACUAAAGGUUCGUUUGUUCAACGAUUAAAACCCU
rnacentral:rRNA from 1 species